rnacentral:rRNA from 1 species
GGCUUCGGGAUAGCCCCGGGAAACCGGGAUUAAUACCGGAUAUGACCAGGGAGGGCAUCCUUUCUGGUGGAAAGGUUCCCUUCUCGUGAGGGAGGGGUUCUGGCUGGGGAUGGGCUCGCGGCCUAUCAGCUUGUUGGUGGGGUGAUGGCCUACCAAGGCGACGACGGGUAGCUGGUCUGAGAGGACGAUCAGCCACACUGGGACUGAGACACGGCCCAGACUCCUACGGGAGGCAGCAGUGGGGAAUCUUGCGCAAUGGGCGAAAGCCUGACGCAGCAACGCCGCGUGCGGGAUGAAGGCCUUCGGGUCGUAAACCGCUUUCAGUGGGGACGAAUCCAGACGGUACCCACAGAAGAAGCCCCGGCCAACUACGUGCCAGCAGCCGCGGUAACACGUAGGGGGCGAGCGUUGUCCGGAUUCAUUGGGCGUAAAGAGCUCGUAGGCGGGCUCAGCAAGUCGGGUGUGAAAACUCCAGGCUCAACCUGGAGACGCCACCCGAU